UACGGGGGGGGGCAAGCGUUGUUCGGAAUUACUGGGCGUAAAGGGUUUGUAGGUGGCCUGCUAAGUCAGACGUGAAAAUCCCUCGGCUUAACCGGGGGAACUGCGUCCGAUACUGGUUGGCUUGAGUUUGGGGGGAGGGAUGCGGAAUUCCAGGUGUAGCGGUGAAAUGCGUAGAUAUCUGGAGGAACACCGGUGGCGAAGGCGGCAUCCUGGACCAAUACUGACGCUGAGGAGCGAAAGCCAGGGGGAGCAAAACGGGG
rnacentral:rRNA from 1 species